rnacentral:pre_miRNA from 1 species
AGGAGGAACAGCCCCAGUGGCGGGGCAGCUCUGGAAACCUGGAUUCAGCUGCGGCAGGAACUCCGUCUGCAGGGCCUGGAGGCUCCGGGGCGGG